AGUGGCUUAACAAGCCCUUCCGUCUCUGGUGCUGGCGACAGAGAAAACUGGGUCUGAGGCAGCCUUGAUCCUUGCCAGCCCAAAGCCCUCGUGUGGGAGAUCAGACGGCAAACUACCUUCAGCAAAGCAGGUGCGGUGAGCGCCACCCGCCCGAGCCACAUCCAACUUCAGCAUCCGCUCUUGCUGCCUGAUCCGUCGGCAAAUUUUGGAAGAUCCAGCAGGUAGAGACACUAAAGAAAGUGUCUUGGUGUCUGCAAAACUCACCCUGGGAAACCUUUUCUGAAACACAAGGUGGGACUUGAGGUGUGAAUCUUGAUAUCUCCAUAGAUCACUGCCUUGGACACUGGGAAGCAGCUUCCAGUCCAGGAUAAGAUACUCCAGCCCUCAUCUUGCAGAGCUGAUGAUUCUGGCAGGAGUCAGCCUGGCAUACAGACCACAGCAUAACAGUGUUGCUUGACUCCCUCUGACCUACUACCUAUAGGCCAAAGUUAAAAGACUGUCACGGAGAGAUGCUGCGGGACCGACAGGGAAUUGCUGUGUACCCAUGUUCCCUGGUGACGUGCUUCAAGUGGUCCUGGGGUUGUUACAAAGAGAAGCCAGGAUCUGCCAACUUCUACUCUGUAUGACCUUCCUUGACCUAACACACACACACACACACACACACCACCAACUUCAAAGCCCUGCCUCUCCACAGCCCCUUGUCCUCACAUCCCCACGUCCCCACAUUCUAGGCCUGCGCAGACAGAAGUCUCGAAGGAAAGCCAAUGAAACAAUAAAGAGAAUGUUGAAAUCA